UACUCCUACGGGAGGCAGCAGUGAGGAAUAUUGGUCAAUGGACGAGAGUCUGAACCAGCCAAGUCGCGUGAAGGAAGACGGCCCUACGGGUUGUAAACUUCUUUUGUAAGGGAAUAAAAAGUCUUACGGGAUAAGACGUUGCAG
rnacentral:rRNA from 1 species